rnacentral:rRNA from 1 species
UUUUGUAUAAUGGGUCAGCGACUUAUAUUCUGUAGCAAGGUUAACCGAAUAGGGGAGCCGAAGGGAAACCGAGUCUUAACUGGGCGUUAAGUUGCAGGGUAUAGACCCGAAACCCGGUGAUCUAGCCAUGGGCAGGUUGAAGGUUGGGUAACACUAACUGGAGGACCGAACCGACUAAUGUUGAAAAAUUAGCGGAUGACUUGUGGCUGGGGGUGAAAGGCCAAUCAAACCGGGAGAUAGCUGGUUCUCCCCGAAAGCUAUUUAGGUAGCGCCUCGUGAAUUCAUCUCCGGGGGUAGA